UGAAUAUAAGAACCCAUCUCUUAAUUUUUAAUUGAAAAAGCUAAGAACCGGCUCUUAAAUAAGAGUUUUAAGAGACGGUUCUUAUCUUUUUAGUUAAAAAUUAAGAGACGGGUUCUUAUAUUCC
rfam:Brassica oleracea var. oleracea cultivar TO1000 chromosome C5, whole genome shotgun sequence